rnacentral:rRNA from 1 species
GACGAACGCUGGCGGCGUGCCUAAUACAUGCAAGUAGGACGCAGUUGCGAACGGGAGAGUAACGAGUAGGUCAAUACCUAUUAGUGGGGGACAACUAUUGGAAACGAUAGCUAAUACCGCAUACUAGUAGAUGUACCUGCGUUGUAUUAGACAGUAGGUAGGGUAAUGGCCUAACUAGGCAACGAUACAUAGCCGACCGUAGAGGGGGGUCGGCCAAACUGGGAAUGGGACAAGGCCCAGACUACCACGGGAGGCAGCAGUAGGGAAUCUGCGGCAAUGGGGGGAACCUUGACAGAGCAACGCCGCGUGAGUGAAGAAGGUUUUCGGAUCGUAAAGCUCGUUUGUUAAGGAAGCGGUACUUAACCAGAAAGGGACGGAGAACGACGUGCCAGCAGCCGCGGUAAUAC